CAAUGGUGUGGACAUAGUUCUGGGAGGAAGGAAGAUGCCAACCUCAUUUCGCACCUGCCAGGCGUGAGAAUGAGCAGUAGAGCUACCUGAGAGUAUGCACUGGGCAGCGUGGCGAGAGUAUGCACUGGGCAGCGUGGCUCCAGUAAAGCCGGGAAGCGUGGAGCAGAGUUCAAAGGACAAAAGGAGUUAAUACUUUCCCAGCCGUUCCAGAGGCUUGGGAGGUGGGACAUGGGUGGUGUGAUCAAGGAAGAUGUCCCGAAGAGUAUCUGAAUGAUGAAAAUGUAAAUAACCGAAGGCUUCCAUUUCGGACAGGAAUCAAGGACAGCGGGGGUGUGGCCCUGAAGUUACUAGCUCGUUACCUGAAGCCUUGCUUCUCAGAACCUGUUCUGUAGGCUGCUCAUAUCAGAAUCACUUAGGGGCUUAUUAGAAAUUCAGAUUCCUGGGCUCUGCCUCUUAGGGACUGAAUCAGAAUCUGUCAGGAAGAGAGGCUUAAAGCGGUGCCCACCAUUCCUGCUCAGGCACCGUGGGGGUGCUGGGGGAGUUGGUGAUGUGUGACAGGAGAGUGCAUGGGAACCACUAUUUUCUAAGCUCUCUUCCACAGAUGAAGUAAGAAACCCAGGGCGCUAGAGGACAGUGGGUGCUUAAUUUAGGAGGGGGCGCUUGGUCUGCCAGAUGGGAGCGUGGAGCGUGGUGGUCACAGCAGUGAGCCCAGUGGUGCACUGUUGAUCCUGAUGUUAAGGGGCCAUGGAUGGCCUGAUCAAGUUGGAGUGGACGUGCUGAAGUUAUAAGUCAUGCUGGGGCUGAACAUUUAAGAGCUGAGAAUGAGACUGUCCUUAAAGCUGAAAAGGAUCCCAAAGCUUUGGGCUCUGCCCCAGAUGUUGUCAAAGGGUGGGGGAGCCCACAGAGUCUGUUUAUAGGCAGUACUUGGAGAGAAAUAAAUCUGCUUCCUAAAUGUAAUUGGAUCAAGUUUGGCCCCUUCAAUAAACUAGUUAUAAUCCCUUUCCUUCAAGGUCCCCCACCUUUUGUGAUUAAGUUUUACCAGUAGUUCUGCGGCCACUUGGAAGAGUUCAUCUCCUUCAUGACCUUUUCAGAAAAUCAGAUCCCAGUCUGCUACAUUCUAUCCAAAUUCUAGACCUUAGACUGGCAUCAGUGUAGCUGGCUUGGGCCAGCUCUUGCCUUGUGGUGGGUGGCCUUUGUGGCUUCUGCCAGCCCCCCCCAUUACCUGAACCCCCAUUACCUGAUCAGGUCACUGAUGCCCAGCUGGAGCUCUGGACAGUUUUGCUGUAUUUGCAGUAGCAUCUCAGCUUCAGAUGGGCCAGUGUGACACUUCCCUGCGAUUGGGUGUACGAACGUGUCCCUCCUAAUGCUCUAGUAUAUUUGGGGGGGCAGGGCUCCUAGUGGGUGUGGGUAGGAAUAAAUCCAGCUGUGCUUGGGGUGUUAAAGCAGAGAUUAUGUGCUUGGGACAUACAUGAGUCCCCUGGGUCCCUAACUAUCAUGAAACUGUCAUAGAGUUAUCACCGUUCUCUGUGAGAUCUCAGCCAGGACUUAAAGCUCCAGCAUUGCACUGUGUAUGUUGCAUGCUCAGACCAGAGCCGGGAGCUUUCUCUUGGUUAUCUCUGGACAGACAUAUAUUGUUGGAAGGUGGGCACAAAGAGGUGGAGGGCAUUGCAUCCAUCAAGGCUGUGAGCUCCUGCCCUGGAGAAUGGAAAGAUGUGAUUAAAGCAAAAUUAGAUCCCAGGAGCUGCAGAAUUAAGGUAUCUCGUCCUGGACAGCUUGAUGUGAAGCCCAUUGGGCUACUGCCCUAAUGAGGCUCUUGGGGACAAGUCUUGGGGUUUUGCUGGGAUGCUCCUUGUGUUCUGACUGUCUCCCAGAGCUCGUGGCCACCCAGCUUUGACUCUGUUUUCCAGCUUCCUUUGCAACCAGGGACGGCCAUCUGACCAAGUUCUAACUAGUGGAAAGUGGUGUAUAAAUUAGACACAACGGCAACGUUGUUGUUGCUCUUCUGCUUAUGGCCUUAGGAACCAGGCCCCUGGUUUUGCCUCCUUUGUCCUUCUUGUCCUGGCCCUGCAUGACCACCUUGUUACACCUAUUUAUUUUCCCCUGUGGCACCUGUGAAAAUGCAGUGCAGCGGUCCUGUGUCUAGGACAUCUACUGUCCCAACCCCAGGGUGUUCACUCAAAUAAGGGUGGCUUGAUUGCCCUGCUAAUCCACAGAGUGGACACAGCUCUGGACAAGGCAGAGCCUUUCUGCUUUGUGUACACAUUCAGUGGGAGAGCACUGAAUGGAGAGCACGGUGGAGACUCCCAUUUCGGGGGCGGAGCUGAGGGGUGGACCUCUUAGACCCGUGGUUCAGGGGCUUUCGAGCACCGGCUGUGCUUGGCAAAGCAAAGCAGCUGUGCCAGCCGGGCCGAAAACUCUUCCCACACCAGAAAGUGGGGAGUGUGUCCAGGGAGGCAGACGUGUGCUCGUCAUCCAAGAAGAGGCAGGAAUGGACUGGGCAUCGAUGCAGCUGACGGCUGGUGGUGGCUCAGCUGAGACGGAGGACUCUGGCACAGGAGAGAUCUCCCCUGAGGUCUGCAGAGAACCGGUGACCAUCCUAAAGGUUAAAUCAUGCAAAAGUUGUGACCCAAGAAGUUCUAAAAUCAGGUCAAGAUAUGAGAGACAAGUUUAUGCACAGCGGGGUGUAGAUGUGUACCGAGUCAGAGGCAGCCUAGCUGUGGCUCUAUCCAGAGAGGAGGCCUCCUCUUGCUAAAAAGUAAAGGAGGUUCCUUUUAACAUUGAUAGUUAAAUGGAUCUCAGUUAUGCACAGGGUGGUAAAUGUUAAUUGAUGGGAAUUGGAGAAGAGGAAAAAGUCUAUUUGUCAGGAUAUGUGUGUCCCAGAGACUAAAUGUUACAGAGCUAUCUAAGGCAUGAUUUCCUCUCCACUUACAAAGAGGAGGUGACAGAAAGGUGACAGCAGCUUUAGAGUGACUCCGGGACUGGUACUUUCCCCCAGGAUGCUGGCUCUAGCAGCCGCUGGGUCCCUCCCACUACACACAGUCUCUGCCUCAACCUUGGCUGCAGGGUAUCGAUAAGGGAAUCGACAGAUGAUCCAAAAUAUGACACAUACAUAUUGUCCAGCUUUGACCGUUUUAUUUGUUAUAGCUAAUAUUUAUUAAGAACCUAACACACACAUGAAUUACUCUAUUUAGUGCUUUACAUACAUUCUCUUUUUCUUUUCUUUCUUUCUUUUUUCCUUUUUAUGGCUGCACCUGUAGCAUAUGCAGUUUCCCAGGCUAGGGGUCAAAUCAGAGCUGCAGCUGCCUGCCUACAUUACAGCCACAGCAACGUGGGAUCCGAGUCUUGACCUAUACCACAGAUCACAGCAACGCUGGAUCCUUAACCCACUGAGUGGGGUCUGCAUCCUUGCUGGAACCUGCAUCCUCAUGGACACAAUGUUGGGUUCUUAACCUGCUGAGCCACACCGAGAACUCCACAGUCUCUUUUUCUAAAUAAGGUUUUAAGAUGGAAGCAUUGUAUAAGUGGACUGAUGGAACACAGUAUGAGAAAAAGAAUACACACACACACACACACACACACACACAUAAAUGACUGGGUCACCUUGCUGUGCAGCAGAAAUAGAACAUUGUAAAUCAACUAUACUUUACUAAAAAAUUUUAAAAAAUUAAAAAAAUAAGUGGACUGUUCCUAGGACCCCAGAAGACUCCCUCCCCCCCACCCCACGCCACCAGUGACCACUUUCCCUUCUUUCUAAAACUUUUUGCUCUCCUGACUCUAACACCAUAGGCUGGUUAUGCCUGUUUUUGAUCUUUAUGGGAAAUGGAAUCAAGCAGUUUGCAUUGUUUUGUUUGCAUCACGUUUGUGAGAUCCAUUUGCCUGGCUCCACAUAGCAGUAAUUUCUUCAGUCUUGUUGGGUUCCAAUGCGAGACUGUGGCACAAUGUUACCUUUGCACUGUUAAUAGACACAUGGAAAGUUUCCACUACUGGACUGUUAGGAAUAUGCAUUCAGGAACAUUGUUGUACACAUCUUUUGGUAAAGUGUGUAUGCAUUUGAGGUAUAUACCUAGAAAUGAAGUUACUGAAUCAAAGGGUGAAUACAUACUUAGUUGAAUAGAAACAACCAUAUGAUUCUCCUAGGUGGUUAUCUCCUGCUUUACCUUUUCCUUAGCCGUGCAUUAGAAUUCCAGCUGCUCACCACACCGACUCAGGGAACACUGGGCAUUUUCUGCUCUUAAAAUUCUAACUAGGGAUUUCCCGUUGUGGCUUAGAGGUAACAAACUGGACUAGAAUCCAUGAGGAUAUGGGUUCCAUCCCUGGCCUCACUCAGUGGUUAAGGAUCCAGUGUUGCUGUGAGCUGUG
rnacentral:lncRNA from 1 species